rnacentral:rRNA from 1 species
AAGCAGCUGUACAUGCAGUCGNNCGAUGAUCCCCGCUUGCGGGGGGAUUAGUGGCGAACGGGUGAGUAACACGUGAGUAACCUGCCCUUGACUCUGGGAUAAGCCUGGGAAACUGGGUCUAAUACCGGAUAUGACCGUUCCUCGCAUGUGGUGUGGGGGAAAACUUUUUGUGGUUUUGAAGGAACCCCCGCCCUACCACUUUGUGGGGGGGGAAAGGGCCUCCCAGGGCAACCCCGGCCUGAAAGGGGAACCGGCCCCCCGGGAACUAAAACCCGGCCCAAACCCCUACGGAAGGCACCAUGGGGAAAUAUUGCCCAUGGGGCCCAACCCUAAUGCACCACCCCCCCUGGAGGAAGAACGGCCUCCGGUUUGUAACCCCCUUUCAUAAGGAAAAAACCUAAAUUAACGGACCCUGCAAAAAAACCCCCGGUUAAUUACUUGCCACCACCCCCGGAAUUCCUAAGGGCCCAGCCUUUUCCCGAAUUUAUGGGCCUAAAAAACCUCUAAGGCGGUUUGCCCCUCCUCCUGUAAAAUACCGGGCCUCACCUCCGAUCCUCCAUGGGGACCGGCCAAACUAAAUGGUGUAAGGGAAAACGGAAAUCCCUGGGGAACCGUUAAAUGGCCCAAAUUUCAGAAGAACCACCAAUGGCAAAGGCAGGCCUCUGGCCUUAACUUGACCCUGAGAACGAAAAGCUGGGGAACCAAACAGAAUAAAAUCCCCUGGUAUCCCAUGCCUAAACCUUGGGCCACUAGGGGUGGGGAACUUUCCACUUUUCCCCCGCCUAGCUAACGCCAUAAAUGCCCCGCCUGGGAGUACGGCCGCAGGGCUAAAC